rnacentral:rRNA from 1 species
GAUGAACGCUGGCGGCGUGCCUAAUACAUGCAAGUCGAGCGAACAGACGAGGAGCUUGCUCCUUUGACGUUAGCGGCGGACGGGUGAGUAACACGUAGCUAACCUACCUAUAAGACUGGGAUAACUUCGGGAAACCUGAGCUAAUACCGGAUAAUAUUUCGAACCUCAUGGUUCGAUAGUGAAAGAUGGCUUUGCUAUCACUUAUAGAUGGACCUGCGCCGUAUUAGCUAGUUGGUAAGGUAACGGCUUACCAAGGCAACGAUACGUAGCCGACCUGAGAGGAUGAUCGGCCACACUGGAACUGAGACACGGUCCAGACUCCUACGGGAGGCAGCAGUAGGGAAUAUUCCGCAAUGGGCGAAAGCCUGACGGAGCAACGCCGCGUGAGUGAUGAAGGUCUUCGGAUCGUAAAACUCUGUUAUUAGGGAAGAACAAACGUGUAAGUAACUGUGCACGUCUUGACGGUACCUAAUCAGAAAGCCACGGCUAACUACGUG